rnacentral:rRNA from 1 species
UACGAAGGGAGCUAGCGUUGUUCGGAAUCACUGGGCGUAAAGCGCACGUAGGCGGAUGUGUCAGUCAGGGGUGAAAUCCCGGAGCUCAACUUCGGAACUGCCCUUGAUACAGCACGUCUUGAGUCCGAGAGAGGUGGAUGGAAUUCCUAGUGUAGAGGUGAAAUUCGUAGAUAUUCGGAAGAACACCAGUGGCGAAGGCGGCUCACUGGACUGGUAUUGACGCUGAGGUGCGAAAGCGUGGGGAGCAAACAGG